CCUACGGGUGGCAGCAGUGAGGAAUAUUGGUCAAUGGACGAGAGUCUGAACCAGCCACGUCGCGUGAAGGAUGAAUGCCCUCUGGGUUGUACACUUCUUUUAUAUGGAAAUAAAAUGUUCCACGUGUGGGGUUUUGUGUGUACCAUAUGAAUCCGGAUCGGCUCACUCCGUGACAGCAGCCGCGGUAAUACGGAGGCUCCGAGCGUUAUCCGGAUUUAUUGGGUUUAGGGGGAGCGUAGGUGGAUUGUUAAGUCAGUUGUGAAAGUUUGCGGCUCAACCGUAACAUUGCAGUUGACACUGGCAGUCUUGAGUACAGUAGAGGUGGGCGGAAUUCGUGGUGUAGCGGUGAAAUGCUUAGAGAUCACGAAGAACGCCGAUUGCGAAGGCAGCUAACUGGACUGCAACUGACACUGAGGCUCGAAAGUGUGGGUAGCAAACAGGAUUAGAUACCCGAGUAGUC
rnacentral:rRNA from 1 species